CCCGGGUCGGUCAGUUUCCCCCGACUAUUUUAGGAUUCCAGAGAGAGAGAGAGAUCUUGCUUCUGCUACUUGAUUAGGUUUUCGUUUCCAUCAAAUCAUGGAAUUAGACGAUGAUUACGUGGAGUAUGUUCCAGUUGCGAAGCGUAGAGCCAUGGAAGAGCAAAAGAUUCUUCAACGGAAGGGGGGCAAAGUGUUGGAGGUGGAGGAAGAAGCUUCGGAGAAGGAGAAGCUCGCCGAAUCCAAACCUAGCUUGCUCGUCCAAGCAACUCAGCUCAAGCGUGACGUACCCGAAGUCAGUGCCACCGAGCAAAUCAUCCUGCAAGAGAAGGAGAUGAUGGAGCACUUAUCUGAUAAGAAGACGCUCAUGUCUGUUCGUGAGUUAGCCAAAGGUAUCACUUACACAGAGCCUCUCUCAACAGGUUGGAAACCUCCUUUGCGUAUUAGGAAGAUGUCUAGCAAGCAGAUGGAUUUGAUUAGGAAGCAAUGGCAUAUCAUUGUUAGCGGUGAAGACAUUCCUCCUCCCAUCAAGAGCUUCGAGGAUAUGAAGUUUGAGAAACCUAUUUUGGAAACUCUCAGGGAGAAGGGGAUUGUGCAGCCCACUCCUAUUCAAGUUCAGGGUCUUCCUGUGAUUUUGUCUGGGAGAGAUAUGAUUGGGAUUGCCUUCACUGGCUCUGGGAAGACUAUGGUUUUCGUGCUUCCUAUGAUUAUGAUUGCUCUCCAGGAGGAGAUGAUGAUGCCUAUUGGUCCUGGAGAAGGCCCCAUUGGCCUUAUUGUUUGCCCUUCUAGAGAGCUUGCUAGGCAGACUUACGAAGUUGUUGAACAGUUUGUGGCUCCUUUGGUCAAGGCUGGCUUCGCGCCUUUGAGGUCUUUGCUAUGCAUUGGAGGUGUCGAUAUGAGGUCCCAGUUGGAUGUUGUCAAGAGAGGUGUUCAUAUUGUUGUUGCUACCCCUGGGAGGUUGAAGGAUUUGCUCGCCAAGAAAAAGAUGAACUUAGAUGCCUGCAGGUACCUGACGCUGGAUGAGGCAGAUAGGUUGGUUGAUUUGGGUUUCGAAGAUGACAUUAGGGAAGUCUUUGACCAUUUCAAGUCUCAGCGUCAAACACUUCUCUUCUCUGCCACAAUGCCUACCAAAAUUCAAAUAUUUGCCAGAAGUGCUCUGGUGAAACCUGUGACAGUUAACGUAGGAAGAGCCGGAGCUGCGAAUCUCGAUGUCAUCCAGGAGGUUGAAUACGUCAAACAAGAAGCAAAGAUUGUUUACCUCCUCGAGUGCCUGCAGAAGACCUCUCCGCCGGUUUUAAUUUUCUGUGAGAACAAGGCUGAUGUUGAUGAUAUCCACGAGUACUUGUUACUGAAAGGAGUGGAAGCUGUUGCUAUACACGGGGGAAAAGAUCAGGAGGACAGAGAGUACGCCAUCUCUUCGUUCAAAGCUGGGAAGAAAGACGUCUUGGUCGCGACUGACGUUGCUUCCAAAGGGUUAGACUUCCCUGAUAUUCAGCACGUCAUAAACUACGACAUGCCUGCGGAGAUUGAGAACUAUGUGCACAGGAUAGGAAGAACAGGUCGGUGUGGGAAAACAGGGAUAGCAACUACGUUUAUAAACAAGAACCAAAGCGAGACCACGCUGCUUGAUCUGAAACACUUGCUGCAAGAAGCUAAACAGAGGAUUCCACCUGUCCUUGCUGAGCUGAAGGAUCCGAUGGAGGAAGCAGAGAAUAUUGCUAAUGCAAGUGGUGUCAAGGGUUGUGCUUACUGUGGGGGUCUGGGACAUCGUAUUAGAGACUGUCCGAAACUGGAGCAGCAGAAGAGUGUGGCCAUAUCUAACUCUAGGAAAGACUACUUCGGCUCUGGUGGAUACAGAGGAGAGAUUUAAUCUGUAUUCCAAUCUUCUUACAAGAAUCCCUUUUGCAAGCUGUCACUUAAUGUCCAUGCUGGAGAUGGUAAAAAGUGAAAAGCUUAAAGAUAUGUAUGUCCAUACGGUAAAUUUAAACAGGAGGUGAAGCAAAAUCGGAAAUAGAAUGCAGUAAGAUCUGCCGUCCCCACUGCCAGCGCUCAUCACCAGCGUCAGAAUGUGCAGCUUGUCGUACAGAAUGUUACAAGUUGCCACCGGUUGCAAUGAGAGGCAGGAACCGCCGCAUGGUUUCAGAAAAACAACAAUAGAUCUUUCUUGUUUUGAUUUAUAUUAUAUACAAUAACACAUGGUGACUACACAUGUAAGGAUCCAAACCUUAUAAUGCUUAUAUGCAACGGCCUAAUAAGA